AACGAACGCUGGCGGCAUGCCUAACACAUGCAAGUCGAACGAGACCUUCGGGUCUAGUGGCGCACGGGUGCGUAACGCGUGGGAACCUGCCCUUAGGUUCGGAAUAACUCCCCGAAAGGGGUGCUAAUACCGGAUAAUGUCUUCGGACCAAAGAUUUAUCGCCUUUGGACGGGCCCGCGUUGGAUUAGCUAGUUGGUAGGGUAAAAGCCUACCAAGGCGACGAUCCAUAGCUGGUCUGAGAGGAUGAUCAGCCACACUGGGACUGAGACACGGCCCAGACUCCUACGGGAAGCAGCAGUGGGGAAUAUUGGACAAUGGGCGAAAGCCUGAUCCAGCAAUGCCGCGUGAGUGAUGAAGGCCUUAGGGUUGUAAAGCUCUUUUACCCGGGAUGAUAAUGACAGUACCGGGAGAAUAAGCUCCGGCUAACUCCGUG
rnacentral:rRNA from 1 species